rnacentral:snoRNA from 1 species
GCUGAGGUCUAUCCCGACAGACCCUUGCUGUAGGGCCAAGUCGUUGGAAACGCCUCAGAGAGCAUACCUGUAGUUUUGCUUUACCCACAUGUUCAUGAACAUGAGCACUGUGGGAUAUUACUGCAGAACACAU